ACGAACGCUGGCGGCGUGCUUAACACAUGCAAGUCGAACGAUGACGACCGAGCUUGCUCGGUCUGAUUAGUGGCGAACGGGUGAGUAACACGUGAGCAACCUGCCCUUCACUCUGGGAUAACCUCGGGAAAUCGGGGCUAAUACCGGAUAUGAGCUCCUGUCGCAUGGCGGGUGUUGGAAAGUUUUUCGGUGAAGGAUGGGCUCGCGGCCUAUCAGUUUGUUGGUGAGGUAGUGGCUCACCAAGGCGAUGACGGGUAGCCGGCCUGAGAGGGCGACCGGCCACACUGGGACUGAGACACGGCCCAGACUCCUACGGGAGGCAGCAGUGGGGAAUAUUGCACAAUGGGCGAAAGCCUGAUGCAGCGACGCCGCGUGAGGGAUGACGGCCUUCGGGUUGUAAACCUCUUUCAGCAGGGAAGAAGCGAAAGUGACGGUACCCGCAGAAGAAGCGCCGGCUAACUACGUG
rnacentral:rRNA from 1 species